CAGUCGCCGCGGUAAUACGAAGGGGGCUAGCGUUGCUCGGAAUGACUGGGCGUAAAGGGCGCGUAGGCGGCGAUCAAAGUCAGGCGUGAAAUUCCUGGGAUCAACCUGGGGGCUGCGUUUGAUACUUGAUUGCUAGAGUGGGGAAGAGGGUCGUGGAAUUCCCAGUGUAGAGGUGAAAUUCGUAGAUAUUGGGAAGAACACCGGUGGCGAAGGCGGCGACCUGGUCCUUGACUGACGCUGAGGCGCGAAAGCGUGGGGAGCAAACAGGAUUAGAGACCCCAGUAGUCCCUGUCUCUUAUAC
rnacentral:rRNA from 1 species